AGCGAACGCUGGCGGCGGUACCUAACACAUGCAAGUCGAACGGGAUCACAGGGUUAAGCAAUAACUCCGUGGUUCUAGUGGCGCACGGGUGAGUAACACGUGGGUAACCUGCCCUUGAGACCGGGAUACCCCCUGAAAGGGGGGCUAAUACCGGGAUACGUUCCUCGGAUCGAAAGGUCUGAGGAGGAAAGGUGGCGAAAGCUGCCGCUCUUGGAGGGGCUCGCGGCCUAUCAGCUAGUUGGC
rnacentral:rRNA from 1 species